GAGAAUUUGCUGCUGCGGGGGGACUCUUUCUGAGGUUACUGUGGAGCACCCAAAGUCUGUCAGCCUCUGGCCGUGCAAACAGGCACCCAGAGGAACCAGACCUUGCUUAUUCACCCACAGCCUGGGACUGUCUUCUCCAGAGUCUCCAUCAGCUUUGCUAAUCGACUGAUUGGAAAUAAUUCCUCAAACACCACCAAGUCAAGGAUACAGGCAGCAGCGGCUCCCCUGUUGUAUGGACAUUCUGCACCCGAAACUGAUAGCUGAGUCCUGAAGUUUUAUGUUAUGAAACAGAAGAACUUUCAUCCCAGCACAUGAUUUGGGAAUUACACUUUGUGACAUGGAUGAAUCUGCACUGACCCUUGGUACAAUAGAUGUUUCUUAUCUGCCACAUUCAUCAGAAUACAGUGUUGGUCGAUGUAAGCACACAAGUGAGGAAUGGGGUGAGUGUGGCUUUAGACCCACCAUCUUCAGAUCUGCAACUUUAAAAUGGAAAGAAAGCCUAAUGAGUCGGAAA
rnacentral:lncRNA from 1 species